rnacentral:lncRNA from 1 species
CUCAUCCAUUCCCGUUGUGGUAAGUAUAAUAUUCCAUUGAAAUUCUGAACCCUAAUUCUGAGUUUGCUGAGAACAGACUUUGAACAAUCUUACUGUUUCGAUAAACUUAAUUAUGUGCUGUCGCAUUUUCAAACCCAUAAGCCUGCACAAAUCGGUUGAACCUUAAUUCUGGUCCCGAAGAAUGUUCAGUACUACGGCAAAUUUGUUAACCACUACGGUAUGCUCAACAGAUCAUUUUACUUAUCGGAACUAAGCUGCAGCACAUCAUGGCAACACUAGCACUGGACCACAAGGGUGUAAAUGGGUCAUUAGUAGGAGUGUUGUUGAAACCCCGCGACCAGCUGUUCUGGUUCAACCGUCCCAAGUUUCUACUGUGUGCCAUCCACUUCGUUCUCUUCCAGGUGAGAUUUGAAUGAAUCCUUGAUUCGAGCAGUAGUGGCCAAGCACACUAAUGUAGCUUUAUUUUGGAAAUGUCUACACGCUCUAAAUUUUAGCCUCAACUCAAGAGACGAGUUGAAAAGACAGAAUUUCUUGUUGCCGCUUUUCCACGUGGUAAAAUACCAACUCAAACAUGUUAGCCAUCUCUGAUGAUCCUAACUUGUGUGCGAAGCAAUGGGUGCUACUCACGAUGCGCUGAUCCAUUCAUUUUAAAUGAUUGCAGUCUGCGUUUGAGAUGGCGAUCUUCAUUUGGUAUCUGGUAAGCCUUAAAAGCACCCAUUAAGACAAAUCUAUGUGCUAGUGUGGCAGAUGUGUGUUAUGUUCAUCAAAAUUAAGAACAGAUUGAUUUGAGCGAGAGUCUCUGGUUGUUACAAAUAUCUUGUAAUUUCUGCUGCUACUGCUGCUGCUUCUUAGAAAGGAAACUUUUUUUUUUUUUUUUUUUUUUUUUUUUUCCUUCUUCUGUUAGAUUGGAGCUGAACCCUUUAGUGUAAUGUGCGAAAUGAAUUGCAGUGGCAGGUAAAAUCAGACUCGUGUUUGUGGGAGGACAAAAAGACUUACCUUUUCGUCCGUUGCGGCAUCAGGUAUGGUUACGCAACUUGGCUUGGCCAACUCGGAACCUCUUUUAAAUUCAAGCUCAUUCAAUCACUCUCCCCAACGUUCAGCUCUUCAAGUGCAGUGAAUUGAACCUUGAAGUGAUGCCUUUUGCA